rnacentral:lncRNA from 1 species
UCCUUUAUUGUGCUUUAGUUCCAAAGAGUUUUCUUUCUCUUCUCCAAAACCUAAAUUUCAAACACAAAUUUUUAAAUCUAAUCAUCACCCAUCAUACAACAACAAACACUUUUGAUAAGAGCUUCCAAUGCAUGGCCACAAUGGAACUUGAACAAAUAAUGACUAGUUAGAUAGCCUUGUCAUCCACCACCUCCACGCUUAGAGCCUCUGUAGGCUAAAUGGUAGUUUGAAUAUAAUUAAAUUUGGUUAAUUAAUUGGAUAACCAGAGGAAUAUUAAGU